rnacentral:lncRNA from 1 species
AUGGACUAGCCUGAUUUGUUAAGCAAGGACUGUGAGGAUAGAUACUGCAGUACUAUCUUUCAUGGAAAACUUUGGAAUGAGAAGCAAUGACCUAUUGCACAGUGCAUCAUGUUCCAGGAUGGGCUAGAAAAACUGAACUGGGAGUAGCUGCCAGCAAGAGCCGCUCACAGGGAAAGGCAGUGACUGUUUACCUGUGCUGCUCAGCCAGACCAGGGAGGACAGAUGGCCGGAAAGAGAGGAAGGAUUCCUACUGGCAUUCCUCUUGCUGAAAGUCAGAACAUAAAGAUUUGGAUGACAUCCAGUAACUGAACUAAAACCAGUCCUAUGUCAAGACAGUGUAACAACCAGGGGAUUGUAGAUGCCAAGCACAGUUUCAGACACACUUGUGUUCUCCAGCAGAAGACAGUGACAUGACAGGAAUGGUAGCACAAGGCUCUUACUGUUAAAUUCAAUAAUUGAUUCUCCUGGAUGGAUUGUGACUCUCCAGAGGUUGCAAAGAAAGAAAGAGUUGAAUUAUGCUGCCACUUAACAAGAAGGAAAAACCAGCAUAAGAGCAUUGGUUUAAUGGACAUGCUUUGGAUUUACACUGGCAUCCUGAAAGCAGAAUUGUCCCCUGUGGGUAUAGAAGUAUCAUGGUAAUUCUCCCCAGGAAGGAAGAAGGCCCUAUUUGCUUGCCUGGUGUAGUUUGAUAUCCACAAGGCACAUGACUGAAGGCACUUGUUUACGGACAUAAUUUUCCAAAUACUCUCUGUAAGUAAUGUUUUCCUAGGCAGUGAAGUAUUGUAUGAAGUUCUAUUGUGGCUCAUUUCUUGCACUAU